UACGGAGGGUGCGAGCGUUAUUCGGAAUUACUGGGUUUAAAGGGUGCGUAGGCGGCUAAGUAAGUUGUCAUUGAAAGGCUACAGCUCAACUGUAGUAGUGGUGGCGAUACUGCUUAGCUAAGAACAUGGGAGGGGUACUUGGAAUGUGUGGUGUAGCGGUGAAAUGCGUAGAUAUCACACAGAACACCAGAGGCGAAGGCGGAGUACUAGACCAUAGUUGACGCUGAGGCACGAAAGCGUGGGGAUCAAACAGGAUUAGAUACCCUGGUAGUCCACGCCCUAAACGAUGAUCACUAGAUAUUGGCGACAAACAGUCAGUGUCCAAGCGAAAGUGAUAAGUGAUCCACCUGGGGACUACGGCCGCAAGGUUAAAACUCAAAGGAAUUGACGGGGGCCCGCACAAGCGGAGGAGCAUGUGGUUUAAUUCGAUGGUACGCGAGGAACCUUACCUGGGUUAGAACGUAUGAGCGAUGCAGCUGAAAGGUUGCAGGCCUGCGAAGGAGUUCAUACGAGGUGCUGCAUGGUU
rnacentral:rRNA from 1 species